rnacentral:rRNA from 1 species
AGUCACUUUGUCUUAAUGGCAAAUGUGAGAUGCAGUGUAUGGAAUGUCCAAUUUCUAGUAUGAGAAAUUAACGAUUUAAGUCCUUCUUAAAUGAGGCCAUUUACCCAAAGAGGGUGCCAGGCCCGUAUAACGUUAAUGAUUACUAGAGGAUAUUUCCGAAGAGUCGUGUUGCUUGAUAGUGCAGCACUAAGUGGGUGGUAAACUCCAUCUAAAACUAAAUAUAACCAUGAGACCGAUAGUAAACAAGUACCGUGAGGGAAAGUUGAAAAGAACUCUGAAUAGAGAGUUAAAUAGUACGUGAAACUGCUUAGAGGUUAAGCCCGAUGAACCUAAAUAUCCAUUAUGGGAAAUUCAUCAUUAUGAAUGUAAUAAUAAUAUUAUUAUAAUAAUAGUGUGCAUUUUUCCCAUAUAAGGACAUUGUAAUCUAUUAACAUACAUCAAUUUAUCAAAAGAUCAAUUGCGUAAGUUUAUUUCAAUUAUUUUGCUUGCAAUUUAACACAGAAUAAAUGCUUUUGAUUUGAUAAAGUGUUGAUAGAUAUAUUAUAUAUGGUGCUUAAAUAUUUAUAUUUUAUAAUAUCAUAAAAAUUUAUAAUUUUUAUGCUUAUUAUAUGCACUUAUAUGAUUAACAAUGCGAAAGAUUUAGCCCACCUUCGGGACCCGUCUUGAAACACGGACCAAGGAGUCUAACAUAUUUGCAAGUUAUUGGGAAUUAAAAAACCUAAUAGCGAAAUUAACAUAACUUAUAUGAUGGGAUUAGUUUUUAGUCUAAAUGUCUAUUAAUUCAAUCCCGGGGCGUUCUGUUGUUAUGUAUAAUAA